rnacentral:rRNA from 1 species
AUACGUAGGGUGCAAGCGUUAAUCGGAAUUACUGGGCGUAAAGAGUACGUAGGUGGUUUGUUAAGUCAGAUGUGAAAGCCCCGGGCUCAACCUGGGAACUGCAUUUGAAACUGGCAAACUAGAGUAUGGUAGAGGGGGGUAGAAUUUCUAGUGUAGCGGUGAAAUGCGUAGAUAUUAGAAGGAAUACCAGUGGCGAAGGCGGCCCCCUGGACCAAUACUGACACUGAGGUACGAAAGAGUGGGUAGCGAACAGGAUUAGAAACACUAGUAGUCC